CAAAGUUCUUGGAGUUACUGAAAAGCUGCUUACUUAACACUGACUCCAAAUGAGCUUGUUUCACACUCAUUUCCUGUCACAGAUUUAUACCCUGAAAGAAGCAGCCCUGCAAUAUUGCAAACAUUCCAAGCAAAACACAGGAGCUUUAGCUGGUCUCUCUUUUCUGAACACUUGUUUGAUCUGUAGGUGUAGGGCCAACAGGAAAGAGCAUGAACUACCAUCAUCACUGCUAGGUGCUAACUAUUGUCCAUGGAACAUUCUUCACACCGAAAGAGAUGUAAAAAAAGAAAAAAACUUCUCCCUGCAAGAAAAUCACAGGUAUAUGCACACCAGGGAAACGAUGGCUCUUCAAAAGGCAAAAUUAACAGACUUCAUGAGAUUCCUUUUCCAGCUGAGGAAGCACUGAAGAACACAUGGCAGUAAUUCUGUCACAGGUAAUUUACACUGCCUUCACAGGACUCAUUCUUGAGAGACUCCAGAAAGACAACAAAACUAACGAACAACUGGAUUUAACUCUGACACAGUGCUAAACUGUUUCUAAACACAGGGGAGAAGCUCAGAAAUAAACAGUCCAUAAAAGCAAUCCUAAAGUAAGUGUUUGAGAUAUGUUCUGAUACUUAGCACUUUUUCUGGAGGGAUGAAACUUCAAGAGCUCCAGCUCUGCACACUGGUUCUGCAAGACUGAUACUGAAUGGACUUCUUCUACAGUCCAAGUUAGACCUGAAGCAUGGUCAGCACAGCAGCUGAGAACAGCACAGCUGCUUGACACCAAGCUAGCAGUUGAAAGGUACAAAGUCCAGGUGGAUUUCAGUGAAGAAUGUGAAACUCUACCAAGUGCAAGAAAAUGCUGACCAGUCCACAAGCAGGGAAGAAGACACACAGAUGUGGGCUGCACAGACAUUUGAACCCUUGUGCUUUGUUCACAGAGAUUGUGGACUUCGGGUUUCUUCAUUGGUGUGAGAAUCGGUGACGUUGUAGAAUUUUUGUUAGAUGAUAGCUUAAGCAAAAUAUGGGGUGGUGUGGUCAAAUGUGUGUCUGCCAGAUG